GGSUUAUUGAUUUUAAUUUUAAGUYUGACCUGCUCAAUGAUAUAAAUAUAUAUUAAAUAGCUGCGGUAUACUGACCGUGCAAAGGUAGCAUAAUCAUUAGUUUCUUAAUUAGAAGCUUGUAUGAAAGGUUUGAUGAAAAAAUGACUGUCUCUGUUUAAAUUUUUUAGAAAUUUAUUUUUAAGUAAAAAAGCUUAAAUAAUUAUAAAAGACGAGAAGACCCUAUAGAGUUUUAUAAUAAAUUUGAUAAAUGAAUAAUUUAGAAUAGUAUAGUUUAUUGAAAAAAUUAUUUAGUUGGGGUGAUUGAAAAAUUUAAUAAACUUUUUUUUUACUAAAUCAUUAAUUUAUGAAUAUUUGAUCCUUAAUUUUAGAUUAUAAGAUAAAAUUACCUUAGGGAUAACAGCGUAAUUUUUUUUAGAGUUCUUAUUAAAAAAAAAGAUUGCGACCUCGAUGUUGGAUUAAAAAAAAUUAUUGGUGUARAAGCUAAUAAAUUAGGUCUGUUCGACCUUUAAAAUUUUACAUGAUCUGAGUUUAAACCGGCGUAAS
rnacentral:rRNA from 1 species